rnacentral:rRNA from 1 species
AGCGAACGCUGGCGGCAGGCCUAACACAUGCAAGUCGAACGCCCCUUCGGGGGAGUGGCGGACGGGUGAGUAACGCGUGGGAAUGUGCCCUUUGGUACGGAACAACUGAGGGAAACUUCAGCUAAUACCGUAUGUGCCCUACGGGGGAAAGUUUUAUCGCCAUUGGAGCAGCCCGCGUUGGAUUAGGUAGUUGGUGGGGUAAUGGCCCACCAAGCCGACGAUCCAUAGCUGGUCUGAGAGGAUGAUCAGCCACACUGGGACUGAGACACGGCCCAGACUCCUACGGGAGGCAGCAGUGGGGAAUCUUGCGCAAUGGGCGAAAGCCUGACGCAGCCAUGCCGCGUGAAUGAUGAAGGUCUUAGGAUUGUAAAAUUCUUUCACCGGGGAAGAUAAUGACGGUACCCGGAGAAGAAGCCCCGGCUAACUUCGUG